CAACAAAGAAGGCGCAGUUUGAGUUAUUAGUAAUGAAGUAGCAGGCAUAUUUGGAAAAUUAUGCCGAUAAGCAGGAUGGAAUUUGGGAAAAAAUGUUAUAAAUCGAGUGGCUCAUUUACGAUGUGCUCCAAACAUUUGGCGAACUUUUUUUCGCCUUUUCAACGUGCUAAG